UGCUCGCUGUAGCUGCACAUUACUAAAAUUGUAGCAGUACAGAGGAGUUAGCAUGGGCCCUGCGUGAGGAUGGCAUGCAAAUUCGGGAAGUGUCUCCCUUUUUU
rnacentral:snRNA from 1 species